AUGUUGAAGGAUUUUGAUGCAGUUAAUGGGACGCAUAAAUCCCAAAGUGCCUCUGAAGCUGGGGAAGAGAGUGAAAUCAAAUUGGGUGAUGUUGAGAAGGUCAAGAAAAUUUUUGUUCAGCAGUGUGCCCAGUGCCACACUGUGGAAAGGGGAGGCAAACACAAGAUUGGGCCAAAUCUGCCUAGGUUUUUUUGGGCAGAAUACUGGUCAGGCCCCUGGAUUCUCUUAUACAGGUGCCAAUAAGAGCAAAGGCAUCAUCUGGGGAAAGGACACACUGAUGGAGUAUUUGGAGCAUCCCAAGAAGUACAUCCCUGGAACAAAAAUGAUCUUCGCUGGCAUUUAAGACGAAGGCAGAAAGGGCAGACUUGAUAGCUUAUAUCAAGAAAUCUACUAAUGAGUAG